UCCAGAAAAUAGAAAACAGCUGAGAAUAUGAAUUCUUUGUCAGCUUUGAACACUGAAGGAGAGAAUCGAAUUUGUUUCUGGCAAACAUGAAGUCAGAUCUCUGGUAUUUCUUUCUCUUCUGCUUCCAAGUUGAAGUUCUAAUGGGAGAAGUCAAUGACUCUGCCAAGUCUGAGAUGUUUAUGUUUCAUGAUGGAGGUCUACAGAUUGUAUGCAAAUAUCCUGAUACUGUCCGACAAUUUAAGAUGCAGUUGCUGAAAGGGAAGAAUAUACUCUGUGACCUUACGAAGACAAAGGGAAGUGGAAACACGGUGUCCAUUACCAACGUGAAUUUAUGCCAGUUUCAGUUAUCCAAUAACAGUGUCUCUUUUUUUCUGUAUAACUUGGACAGUUCUUAUGCCAGCUAUUACAUCUGUGAAUUAUCAAUUUUUGAUCCUCCACCUUUUCAAGUAGAUAUUCUAAGCAAAGAAUAUUUGAAUAUUUAUGAAUCACAGCUUUGUUGCCAACUGAAGUUCUGGUUACUUCUAGGAUGUGCAGCCUUUGUUGUAGUCUACAUUAUUGGAUGUGUUCUUACAUGUUGGCUUACAAAAAAGCCUCAAGUUAGGAGCUGAAGUCACCUUAUAACACUGUCAUAUACUGUUUCAACGAGGAAAUAGAAAACAGUAAAAACAAAUACCCUCUUCCCCAGGAAUGGAUAUGGGGAAGGACAGAUGCCAAACCACGUUUCUGACUUUUCUUGCAGAAAUAUCGCCCCAGCGUGCAUGACCCUAAUAGUGAAUACAUGUUCAUGGCAGCAGUGAACGCCACUAAAAAGGCUGGACCAACAGAUGUGACCCGCAAUUUGGUACACUCUGGCACACGGGCAUGAACCAAGUUGGCCAGUUCUCUCCAACUCGAAGUGCAAGAUUCCCUUAUUUCCUGGACUUGAUUUGACUCCAUCUUCUGCUGGCAUUUUGUUCAGUCUCAACCCGUGACUCUAUCCAUCAACACGGAUUUUAACAGUCAGCCUCAGUACUGCUGAGUUCUCUCAAAUACCCUCCUGCAAGUAGACUUAGAGAAAGCCCAGCUCAUGUGUGCUCAACAAACAGACCUCACUGGGAUGGAAUUCCUGUCUUCAUAUCUGCUUCUAGCAAUGCACCAGCCAGUAAAAUGAACACGUCUACAAAAAUGUUUUCAAGAUGCCAAGGGUACCGAAUCUGUAAAGCAAAUGGGCCACCAAGGGCCAGAAUCUGUCUUCAUUUCAAUAACAAACUACCUCUCCUUCUCGUAGGGAUGAUCUCUCCUUUUCAAAUCAGAUGAUAGGAGGAGAUGCUUCCAAACUGUAGUCAGUUUAUUUCUGAGGUGUGGUUGUGUAACCAUAGCGUAUCAUUGCACUAGUGCACAGCGCUCUUCCCCAACUUCUGAAGUCCACUUGGCCCCUCCACCAGGAGUUUAGAUGCCUUUGCGUGCUCUCAAUUUUCCUUUUUCAAAAUACUUCCACAUAACUACUUGACAGACACCCUGAGUUAGGAGCUAUGCCUACUGUUUUUCCUUUUGUGACUCAGUUAUCUAUAGAGUUGCAGCCUAAUGACCAUAACUUCCCUCUAUUCUCCCUGAACAAGCAUAUUUUUGCUCCAGAAAGGUAUCUUAUUUUUCCCCAGUUCAGUUGAAAUGGUUUUCUUUGCUGACUUGUUGACAUCAGUGGUAGGAGACAUUGCUCAGAAUCAAAAGCGAAUUCAUUUUAUGAUACUUUUCCAUCAUUAUCUAUGUUUACAUGGUGCUAUUAAUUACGAGUUAGGCUAUUUUUGUAGAUGUUCAAAUUGCAAACAAACAAAGAAGUCCAUCUUUCCCUGUCAAGCCUUGACCUGGGUUGGGUAAAGCCCAUGAUCCUUUCAGCUUGAAGGCUGCAGUUCCUGGAAGUCACUGCCAAAUUAGAGCCAUGCUGCCUCUGGGCCUGACAGGUUGAAAUGGCCCCCAUCAGCCUGGAGCAGCCAUCCGGUCCUGGAUGGAAUUCCCAGAGUUGGGAGACUCUGCUAAGCCAAGAUAACCAGGUGCUCUCGCACCCAGAGGCUGAAGUUGCUGGGGACCAGAACGGGUCUGCCUGCUGUUUGGACCUCCAGGAUCUAUGAAAAAGCCCAGAUGUGUCAGAAAACAUCUGUAUAAUUCCCUUUCCUAGAAGCCACUCAGCCUGGAAACUGGUCCUGGCCCCUUAAGACAGUCUUCAUUUGAAUUUGAUUUGGUCAGAAAGAUUCUUAAGUAUAUGUAACAUGUAAUUACUCCUAGCUGAAAUAUUCUCUCCCCUUCCUAUUCUGCAUGCCCAAGGCUUUGGAAGCAGCCAAUGUGAAUGCGAUAACAUUUUCGAGUUUGAUUAAAUGGGAUUAUGUAGUAGUUUUAAAAUUUGUAGUUGUCCGCUUAUAGUUUACUUUAAAAAUAAGACCUGAUGUGUCAUUAUGCAUACUUAUAUUAUUUUAAGCAUGUGUAAUACCGGAUGUGUACAGUACAGUACUGAAUGUGUAAUUUGAAUCAAGUACGGUGUUCUGUUUUCAGCUGACUUGGACAAACUGGCUGGCUCUGCAGAGGUGUUCUCUGGGUUGUUUGCAGCCUUCUGCAUGGGGUGUCAAGUGGGGAAGAACAGCCCUCACAUGGCCCACCUCUCCUGGUUGUCCAAGUUGUGCCCUGAAGCAUCCUUAUUCUUAGCACUGGACAUUUCAGAGUGAAUUACUAAAGGAUACAAUUUCUAUGAAAUAAAGACUGAUUUUAAGAAAAGUUGAUUAUAAAAUAGAUUUUAGCCAUGGUAAGAAGCUAAAGAAUAAAUAUUUGCUAUUCAGCAACCA